UACAGAGGUCUCAAGCGUUGUUCGGAUUCAUUGGGCGUAAAGGGUGCGUAGGUGGCGCCGUAAGUCGGGUGUGAAAUUUCGGAGCUUAACUCCGAAACUGCAUUCGAUACUGCGGUGCUUGAGGACUGGAGAGGAGACUGGAAUUCAUGGUGUAGCAGUGAAAUGCGUAGAGAUCAUGAGGAAGACCAAUUGCGAAGGCAGCUCGCUGGGACGUUACUGACGCUGAGACGCGAAAGCGUGGGGAGCAAACGGG
rnacentral:rRNA from 1 species